GAUUUUCCCGUUAUGCUCGAGACUGACUUCCAAUCUCCGUCCUUCCUCCGAAAUUUGUCAUCAUGCAGCAGGGAAGUGGGUCUGAGACGGAGGUAACCUGGGAAGAUCAGCAGAACAUCAACAAAUUCGGGAGAUUAAACAACAGAUUCCACGAGCUUGAGGACGAAAUUAAGAUAGCUAAGG